CCCUCCACCACCGUGCUUGACAGUUGUUAUGCGGUUUUUGUGCUGCGUUUAGUUUUCUACAAAUGUGCUGUUUUUGAUUUGCAUCUUUUUGAUUUGAUC